GUUGCAUUUAAGCCAUUUCUAUAACAAAUAUCUCUACAAACUUGCCUUUAUAAUCCAACUUUUUUUUUUUUUUUUGCUGUGAUAGACUAUCCAGCACCAAGCAGUACAUGGUAGAAAUCUCUAUCAAACACAUGCAGGCAAAUCACUGUUAGUAUAGUACAGCCAGAUACAGUAUCUAUUUUAGGGGUGGCCUUAAUUACAUUUUUCCCAAAAAAUAUUUUCCAAGAUCUACCCUGGGGCACUAGCUGCCCUUUUCUAUCCUAGCCACAGCAGUGAACUCUCCUGGCUCCUAAGAGCUGAUCCAGUAGUGAGACUGGGAAGUGAGAAACUGGUAGGGGGGCCCCUUUGGUGUCACUUGCAGCAAUUCAGAAGAUGACAACUCAUCAUGGGAGACCUCCCGAUUCCUAAACUGCUGGACUCCACUUGGUGAAUAACCAUGGCAGAGGACAAACACACACUGUGUCCUGGAGACCACAGUCUUUUGUUUCUUACUCAGUGUUCACGUGGGCCACAGAAAGCCGGUCUCCUCAUGAGAAACAGAUACACAGGACAAACUACACAAGUUUUCCAGAAGAAAAAGAACAGAGCUUGUUUUAAGAAAUUUGUACUUUUCAUUUCAUUACUUAGGAAUUACAAGAGACUUUGCAGAAGGGUAAAAAUGGGGAGCGACAUCCCUCUGAUAGAAAUGAGAUGCAAAGACCACGUGAGUUACCUGCCCGGUCCCAGUAAGGGAUCCUAAUUCUGGAAGGAAAUUAUUUAAGGACUCUUUUUAGCCUUGAGGGUCUGAGAUGCAAUCAGAUUUUAAGAUGAGCAACACUUUUCAGUGACUGAUCUCCAUCCAGGCAUGUGGUCUGGGAUUCUGCCUUAGUACAUGCCUUCUGACAACUGGGAGAGGCUCACCAAAGAUGAAGUUCAUGUGACGCCAAGUAGAAGAGAAGAAAGAGGCCUUGAAUAAAAGCAGAGGAGUUAAGAUGCAUAUGAAAGAUAAUGAGCCCCUGGAGGUUUUUGAACAAAGAGAUGAGAAAAGAGACCGUUAUUUUAGAUGUCUCAAGACCACUUUACUGAAACACUACCUUAAAAAAAGAGUCUCAUUACAAUGGAAACAAAAAGCUAUUACGAAUUAAAUACUGUGAUGGUUAAUACUGAGUGUCAACUUGAUUGAAGGAUGAAAAGUAUUGUUCCCAGGUGUGUCUGUGAGGGUGUUGCUAGAGGAGAUUAACAUUUGAGUCAGUGGACUAGGACACGCAGACCCACCCUCAAUCUGGGUCGGCACCAUUUAAUCUGCAUCAGCACGGCCAGAAUAAAAACAGGCAGAAGAAAAUGUGAAAAGACUAAACUGGCUUAAGUCUCCCAGCCUACAUCUUUCUCCCAUGCUGGAUGCUUCCUGCCCUUGAACAUCAGACUCCAAGUUCUUAGCUUUGGGACUUCUGGACCUUUGACCAUAGACUAAAAGCUGCACUGUUGGCUUCCCUACUUUUGAGGUUUUGGGACUCGGAAUGGCUUCCUUGCUCCUCAGCUUGCAGAUGGCCUACUGUGGGACUUCACUUUGUGAUCAUGAGAAAUCAACAUCUCAUGGAAGAAGUUUCAGUGUACACUCCUGCCUUUAGUCCAACAUACAAACCAUUACAAGAGGAUGCAAUUUAUCCCUGUUUUCUUUUUUAAAGUAUGAAAGAGAGAAUUCACAAACACUAAAUCUUUCUAAAGGUAUAACAUGGUAAAGGAAUGAAAGGGUCUGCAUAAAAUAAUCUAGAAAAAAAAAAAAAAAAAGAAGGGAAGGUAGUUGAAUCUAUACCAGGGAUGGGCAAAUGACUGCCCAUGCAUGGCCUGUUUUGUAUGGGCCGUGAGUUAAGAAUAAAGAGCUAUAAAUAAAACAAAAAAAGAAUAAGCUGCAGCGACAUGUGGCCUGUAAAGCCUAAAAUAUUUAUUAGCUGGAUCUUUACAGAACAAAUCUGCUGAAUCCUGUUGUAUACCAAUCUGGAUAUGGAUGAUGCUUGUGUCUUCUGAAUGAAAAUUGGCCUAGGACCUCUGAAGAAAAGCUGGUUUCAAUUAGGCUUAGUGUUGUCUGAAAGACUGAGCAGAUCUAAGAGACAAGAUUUAUAAAAACAGAUUGCUAACACUGCAUUUCUAUUUAAUGUUUCAAUUUCUCUUGCUUUUGAUGCCUACCCUACGUUUUAUAAAACAGUAGAACACUAUAGUUACCAUGAAAAUACAUCUUCAAAAUAUUCUCUUAGAAUGAAAGGAAGAUUCACAAUAAUGCUUAUGAUGUAACACUUUAUGUCAAACUUAAAUUUAUAUUUAAAGUAUUUCAAUUAUCUUGAAUCCCCAUGUGCUAUAAGGAACACAGUAGUUAA
rnacentral:lncRNA from 1 species